rnacentral:rRNA from 1 species
CCUACGGGCGGCAGCAGUGGGGGAUAUUGCACAAUGGGGGAAACCCUGAUGCAGCGACGCCGCGUGAGUGAAGAAGUAUUUCGGUAUGUAAAGCUCUAUCAGCAGGGAAGAAAAUGACGGUGCCUGAUUAAGAAGCCCCGGCUAACUACGUGCCAGCAGCCGCGGUAAUACGUAGGGGGCAAGCUUUAUCCGGAUUUACUGGGUGUAAAGGGAGCGUAGACGGCAGUACAAGUCUGGAGUGAAAGGCCGGGGCUUAACCCCCGCACUGCUUUGGAAACUGUGUAGCUAGAGUGCAGGAGAGGCAGGCGGAAUUCCUAGUGUAGCGGUGAAAUGCGUAGAUAUUAGGAGGAACACCAGUGGCGAAGGCGGCCUACUGGACUGUAACUGACGUUGAGGCUCGAAAGCGUGGGGAGCAAACAGGAUUAGAUACCCCUGUAGUC